UACGUAGGGUGCGAGCGUUGUCCGGAAUUAUUGGGCGUAAAGAGCGUGUAGGCGGCUUGAUAAGUCUGCUGUGAAAGUCCAGGGCUCAACCCUGGAAAGCCGGUGGAUACUGUCGAGCUAGAGUCCGGAAGGGGCGAGUGGAAUUCCUGGUGUAGCGGUGAAAUGCGCAGAUAUCAGGAGGAACACCGAUGGCGAAGGCAGCUCGCUGGGACGGUACUGACGCUGAGGCGCGAAAGCGUGGGGAGCGAACAGG
rnacentral:rRNA from 1 species